rnacentral:rRNA from 1 species
GAUGAACGCUAGCGGCAGGCCUAAUACAUGCAAGUCGAACGGUGUCUUCGGACAUAGUGGCGCACGGGUGCGUAACACGUAUGCAACCUACCUUACAUUGGGGGAUAGCCUUUCGAAAGGGAGAUUAAUACCGCAUAAGACAGUAGCUGGGCAUCCAGCAGCUGUUAAAGAUUUAUCGAUGUAAGCUGGGCAUGCGUCCAAUUAGCUAGUUGGUGAGGUAACGGCUCACCAAGGCAAUGAUUGGUAGGGGAACUGAGAGGUCAAUCCCCCACACUGGCACUGAGAUACGGGCCAGACUCCUACGGGAGGCAGCAGUAGGGAAUAUUGGGCAAUGGACGCAAGUCUGACCCAGCCAUGCCGCGUGCAGGAUGAAGGCGUUAUGCGCUGUAAAUUGCUUUUAUACAGGAAGAAACGACUCUUGCGAGAGGCAUUGACGGUACUGUAUGAAUAAGCACCGGCUAACUCCGUGCCAGCCGCCGCGGUAAAAC